rnacentral:rRNA from 1 species
UGGGGAAUAUUGCACAAUGGGCGCAAGCCUGAUGCAGCCAUGCCGCGUGUAUGAAGAAGGCCUUCGGGUUGUAAAGUACUUUCAGCGGGGAGGAAGGCGAUAAGGUUAAUAACCUUGUCGAUUGACGUUACCCGCAGAAGAAGCACCGGCUAACUCCGUGCCAGCAGCCGCGGUAAUACGGAGGGUGCAAGCGUUAAUCGGAAUUACUGGGCGUAAAGCGCACGCAGGCGGUCUGUCAAGUCGGAUGUGAAAUCCCCGGGCUCAACCUGGGAACUGCAUUCGGAACUGGCAGGCUAGAGUCUUGUAGAGGGGGGUAGAAUUCCAGGUGUAGCGGUGAAAUGCGUAGAGAUCUGGAGGAAUACCGGUGGCGAAGGCGGCCCCCUGGACAAAGACUGACGCUCAGGUGCGAAAGCGUGGGGAGCAAACA